CAGCGGAGCCCCUCAGACAAGAUGGUGGCCUCUGGAACAGGUAUUCAACAAGGGCAAAACACUGCCUGGGAGCAAUGAAUAAGGGGGAAAAAUGUAAGAAACAGCCCUGCACACACCAGAGGAGGAGGAAGAGGAGGUGCGCCCGGCACCCAAGCAGAGACUCCUUCAGCCAGGGAGAGACAGUCAGAGAUCACCCCUCCAUUUCCUGCGGCCUCCACACGGUUCUUUGAAAUGGAAACAAUGGGAUAAAGGAGACAACAGUAAACUCUACUGUGUUUCAGAGGGAUGGCUCCUUCUUAAAGCAGAAGUGUGAGCAGUGGAAUAGAGCUAAUACUCUAUACCUUUAAAAGCUUGGCUAAGAAACCCAAAAAACUUCACAGAUGCCAGAUUAUGCCUCUGCUAAACCACAAGGACUUCCCAGUAGAAAGUAUACGCCUGAGAAAAAAAAACAUUUAAAGCUUUAUGGAAGUUACAGCCAAGAGUGAUGUUAUCUGGUGGUAUCCAGCAGCAAGGCUGUAACCCAGCAGCCCAGGAGAAAAGUGUGUCAAGGUUUCUAUUGACUAGUAAAAUCCUGCUGCAUCAGCCAAAUAGCACCUGCCCCUUGCUCAGACAUUCUCCCUCCAGAUGUCCUGUUAUCACCUAAGAGAUCAGUGUGUUCCGGGACAGCUGACUAAUCCUUUUUCAUUGUAUUAAAACCUGACAGCACGUCAGGAACAAACCAUUUCAAAGCCUCAUGAAAACAAGCAUGUGCUUCCUCCUACCCAACGAUACACUCUGAUGUGGAUGCAGCCGAUCACAGAACAUGUGCUAACAUUACAAAAGCAUUGUACGAAAUUUUACAAUGUACAUUGUGCAAAAUACAAAAAAACAUGAUAUUGUUUUGAAACUCUGAAAAUGGUUACUAUUUGUUGGGCUAUUUUGGCUUCAGCCGUGAUGUAUGGACACCAUUGUGCUACUCACCCAUGAACUCUACCUUAUCUUCACUAGACAGCUAAAUAUACUAGGGACUGACUACAGUAUUCGAAGAGCUGUAACACCACCUUAUUGCAGAUGCUCAAGAAAGCUUCAGACAGAGCAUAUAACCUGGUGUAUACAUACAGGUUAUAUAUACAGUCAGUCAUAUAGCUGACUUCUUAAGGGCUACGAGAAAAAGAGAUUAAAAGGAAAGAAGAAGAACAUCUUAUGCCAGUUAACACUACAUUAAAAUUUCAAUAUUUAUAAUAGUAAUAUUGGUCCAGAUAUGUUGCAUGUUACCUGCCUUUAAAGUUAAAUAUAACAUCAUGCAUAUUACUGUCUAUAGCAUCAUAAGUAUAUAUGAAGAAAUAGGCA